rnacentral:rRNA from 1 species
UACGUAGGGGGCAAGCGUUAUCCGGAAUCAUUGGGCGUAAAGCGCGUGUAGGCGGUUCCGUAAGUCCGCUCUGAAAGCCCAGGGCUCAACCCUGGGAGGCGGGUGGAUACUACGGAACUGGAGUACGGAAGAGGAGAUUGGAAUUCCUGGUGUAGCGGUGAAAUGCGCAGAUAUCAGGAGGAACACCGGUGGCGAAGGCGGGACUCUGGGCCGAUACUGACGCUGAGGAGCGAAAGCGUGGGGAGCAAACAGG